rnacentral:rRNA from 1 species
UGGGGAAUUUUGGACAAUGGGCGAAAGCCUGAUCCAGCAAUGCCGCGUGUGUGAAGAAGGCCUUCGGGUUGUAAAGCACUUUUGUCCGGAAAGAAAUCCUUGGCUCUAAUACAGUCGGGGGAUGACGGUACCGGAAGAAUAAGCACCGGCUAACUACGUGCCAGCAGCCGCGGUAAUACGUAGGGUGCAAGCGUUAAUCGGAAUUACUGGGCGUAAAGCGUGCGCAGGCGGUUUGCUAAGACCGAUGUGAAAUCCCCGGGCUCAACCUGGGAACUGCAUUGGUGACUGGCAGGCUAGAGUAUGGCAGAGGGGGGUAGAAUUCCACGUGUAGCAGUGAAAUGCGUAGAGAUGUGGAGGAAUACCGAUGGCGAAGGCAGCCCCCUGGGCCAAUACUGACGCUCAUGCACGAAAGCGUGGGGAGCAAACAGGAUUAGAUACCCUGGUAGUCCACGCCCUAAACGAUGUCAACUAGUUGUUGGGGAUUCAUUUCCUUAGUAACGUAGCUAACGCGUGAAGUUGACCGCCUGGGGAGUACGGUCGCAAGAUUAAAACUCAAAGGAAUUGACGGGGUCAUA